rnacentral:rRNA from 1 species
CGUUCCCAUCCCGAACACGACCGUUAAGCCCUCCAGCGCCGAUGGUACUUGGACCGCAGGGUCCUGGGAGAGUAGGACGUCGCCAAGC